GAAGGCACAUUUGGAGAACGGAAAAUGUGGAAAAAUAUUCAAGUUUUAAGUUUUCUUUAUUUUGAAGUUAUUGAAGUUCUUCGAAAUUGCAAUGUCAGGACGUUGAAAUAAUGCACAAAAAGGAGCUUGUGAAGUUUGUCGCUCAUCAAGAAACAUGCUUCGUCUUCUUGCCUUAGAUGGAUCGGAACUAUGCUAUAUGUGAGCCAAAUCUUAUCAAGAUCGCACGAAUCGAUUGGAAGAUGGGUUAGCGUCUGAAGAGAUAUUGUCAUUUAUGAAAAUCUUCUGAUAAGCAAAAUCGAAUCAACAUCGGAAUAGAUCAUCUAUAAGCCACACAUCUGCACAAGAGUAUUUAAUCUUCGGCUUGGCAUUCGUUUCUCUUGCAUUACGUUUGGUUUUUAGAGCCGAACCUCUUGAAACUCGCCCAAAGGAUCUAACAAUAAUGCGAAUCUUAUAUUUGUCUUAUAAUACUUGGCUAUCGUAUAGAAAGAAGCAACUGCGAGCUUUUCAAAUAAGUAUAUCAAAAUUCUCAAUCAACAAUUGGCCAACUGAGUCGAUCGAUGGACGAGUGAAACGACGAUCAAUGCAAAAAACGGCAGCCGAUUUUAUAAAUACCUCGUAAUAUUGAAAACAAUCCAUAUUGAGACAUUCGUUAUUUUCUACACCAAAACUUCGAUACACUACCUUAUUUCCGACAAAAUGAAAACAAAGCUUUCGCAAAACAGAUCAAAAAGCGCAGACAUUAAGCAACAGCUAGAAGAAGCACAGCGGCUGUGUGUGCGUGUGUGUGUGUGUGUGUGAGGAAGUGCGAAUGUUUUGGGAGCUAUUGGUUAAAUCCAGGGUAUCUGCUAGUCGUAAGUGCUCGACUAGAGCACUUUUGUAUUUGGUUUUCGACUGGGCGGGCUUAUACUUCCUUGAGCUCUCCUUCUAUUUGGUUCUUCUCUUUCAUUUUAUUUUUCU